CCACUUGAGAGGUAUAGUAUGUCAAACUAUUUAUGUUUAUUCGAAAAGUUAGAAAGUUUUUCAUAUAGUUUCUCAAUAUCAAAACUAAAAAUUUAGAUGUUUAUUUUUAAUAAAAGAAAAAUAUUAAUAUUAUUUGCUUGGAAUGUCAGAAAAAUAUAUUGCAAUAUUUCGUUACUUUUCAAAAUAAACAUGAUUUGCACGAACAAGUCUCAUUCGCGAAGGUUAUUCGAUCUUAAAACAUCGAUAAACGAAGGCGUGGCUCGAUUGUUUGAAGUAGACAAAGUAAAGUAACACGAAUCGAAGUGAAUGGGAUGUUGGAUGUUGUAAUUUAAAACAAAAAAAUGUUUGCAAUUCGAGCAAAUCAAUCUGAUUUUCAUCGAGAAAAUGUAAAAGGACGAAAGAAAAACUAAUCGAAGAUUGGAAAAGAGAUUGGAUAUAACAGAAUGGUCAAACAAGUUUCCAGUUUUAAUCGGUUGAGUGUAUACCGUUCUAAACAAAAUUGACAGCUGUUCCAUUAAAUCAUGAUUGAAUUUCCAGAUUCACAUAUUAAUUAUUAUUCCGUAAUAUUGCACUGGGUCGAGGUCGGUUCUUUGAAAAUAUUUUCUCUUCUGUGAACAAGUUAACAGUUCGAUUAAAUUUCGUCCCGAUGAUUCAAAAAUCACUUUUACGAAAUAAUUAUUUUGAAAUUACCUUGUCACAGAUAUUUCACUUUUGUAACAAUUUUUUUUUUUCGAGGUAAAAUGUAAAAAGGGAAAAAGAAAAGAAUAAAGAAUUGAAGAAAUUUUAUCCACAUUUCGAU